rnacentral:tRNA from 1 species
UGGCUCAGUUGGUAGAGCAUGGCACUCCAAACACCAGGGUUGUGGGUUUGAUUCCCAC